AAGAACCAACUUUUAGUUUUGUCAAUUUUUUCAAUUGUUUCUUUUGUUUCGAUUUCAUUAAUUUCAGCUCUGAUUUUAAUUAUUUCUUGCCUUCUACUUCUUUUGCUGUUGUUUUGCUCUUCUUUUUCAAGGAUUUUGAGAUGAAGUAUGAGAUCAUUUAUUUGUUGGUUUUUUCUUUUUUUAAGGAAUGAACUCCAAGCAAUGAAUUUUCCUCUUAGAACUGCUUUCAAUGUGUCCCAUAGAUUCCGAUAUGUUGUGUCUGUGUUUUCAUUUAUCUCUAAGAAUUUUUUAAUUUCCUCCUUGAUGUCUUCUAUAACCCAUUGAUCAUUCAGUAACCUAUUGUUCAUUCUCCAAGUGAUGUAUGCUUUUUCCUUCCUUCUUUUAUCGUUGAUUUUCAGUUUCAUUCCAUUAUGAUCAGAUAAGAUGCAUGGUAUUAUCUCUACUCCUUUAUAUUGUCUAAGAGUUGCCCUGUGACAUAAUAUAUGAUCUAUUUUUGAGAAGGAUCCAUGUGCUGCUGAGAAAAAAGUGUAACUGCUUGAUGUUGGGUGGUAUACUCUAUAUAUGUCAAUUAGGUCUAGGUUAUUAAUAGUGUUAUUGAGUUCUAUAGUUUCCUUAUUCAACUUUUGUUUGGAAGAUCUGUCCAGUGGCGAGAGAGGUGUGUUGAAGUCUCCCAUGAUUAUGGUAUGGUGGUCUAUUAGACUCUUGAACUUGAGAAGAGUUUGUUUGACGAACAUAGCUGCACCAUUGUUUGGGGCAUAAAUAUUUAUGAUUGUUAUGUCUUGUUGGUGUAUGGUUCCCUUAAGCAGUAUGUAGUGUCCCUCUUUAUCCCUUUUGAUUAACUUUGGCUUGAAAUCUAUUUUAUUUGAUAUGAGUAUGGACACUCCUGCUUGUUUCCGAAGUCCAUAUGAGUGAUAUGAUUUUUCCCAACCUUUCACCUUCAGCCUAUGUAUGUCUUUUCCUAUCAAAUGCGUCUCCUGUAGGCAGCAUAUUGUUGGGUCUUGUUUUGUGAUCCAUUCUACUAGCCUGUGUCUCUUAAUUGGUGAGUUUAAGCCAUUAACAUUUAGGGUUAUUAUUGAGAUAUGGGUUGUUCUUCCAGCCAUAUUUGUUUAUUUCUGUUACUAAACAUGGUUUGUUUUCCUCUUUGAUUAUUUCCCCCCCCCCUUUACUGUCCUACCUCCCACUGUUGGUUUUCAUUGUUAUUUUCCAUUUCCUCUUCCUGUAAUGCUUUGGCGAGGAUGUUUUGAAGAGAUGGUUUUCUAGCUGCGAAUUCUUUAAACUUUUGUUUAUCGUGGAAGGUUUUAAUUUCAUCUUCCAUCCUGAAGCUUAAUUUCGCUGGAUACACAAUUCUUGGUUGGAACCCAUUUUCUUUCAGUGUUUGAAAUAUGUUAUUCCAGGAUCUUCUAGCUUUCAGAGUCUGUGUUGAAAGAUCAGCUGUUAUCCUGAUUGGCUUACCCCUAAAUGUAAUCUGCUUCCUUUCUCUUGUAGCUUUUAAAAUUCUCUCCUUAUUCUGUAUGUUGGGCAUCUUCAUUAUAAUGUGUCUAGGUGUGGAUCUCUUAUGAUUUUGCACAUUCGGCGUCCUGUAGGCUUCUAGGAUUUGGGAUUCUGUCUCAUUCUUCAAGUCUGGGAAGUUUUCUCGUAUUAUUUCAUUGAAUAGACUGCUCAUUCCUUUGGUUUGGAGCUCUGUACCUUCCUGUAUCCCAAUGACUCUUAAGUUUGGUCUCUUAAUGUUAUCCCAUAUUUCUUGGAUGUUCUGCUCAUGGUUUCUUAACAGUCUUGCUGAGCUGUCUAUGUUCUUUUCCAGUUGAAAUACUUUGUCUUCAUUGUCUGAUGUUCUAUCUUCUAAGUGUUCUACUCUGCUGGUAGUAUUCUCCAUUGAGUUUUUAAGUUGGUUUAUUGCUUCCUGCAUUUCUAGGAUUUCUGUUUGUUUGUUUUUUAUAACCUCUAUCUCCCUGUAUAGUUGAUCCUUUGCUUCCUGGAUUUGUUUGCGUAAUUCAUUGUCGAAGUGAUCUUUCAUUGUCUGAUUUUGCUGUUUAAUGUCUUCCUUGAUACUCCAGAUCAUCUGAAGCAUGUAUAUCCUGAAUUCUUUAUCUGACAUUCCAUCUGCUGCAGCUGUUACCUCUUCUAAAGUUGCGUUGACCUGCAUUGCUUGUGGUCCUUUCUUUCCUUGUCUUUUCAUACUGCUUGCGUAUCUUUCCUGCAGGCGCGGGCGGCGGCUCUGCUCUCUCCUUAUUCCAAUUGGGGUGUCGUGGCUACCACGCCGGCAGGUCACUGGGCCUGUUCUGGGCGCUGGCGGCGGCUCUGUUCUGC
rnacentral:lncRNA from 1 species